rnacentral:lncRNA from 1 species
UGAAAGCGGAUGGUCACGUUUAUAGUCAGCUGUUUUUGUCAAGUGUUACCUACUCACUGAGAGAGUUCCUGGGUCUAUAAGGGAACAGAAAGAUUAUGCCCUCUGCCUCCUCCCUUCUUGCUUUCCCUUGGAUUCUUCUACUCAAACCACUCUGAACUUGCAAUAAGCAACAUUACAUUUCCAAUGUAUCACCAAGUCCAAGUAUAGCAUCUCUGGGAAGUAAAGCAUGGUCAGGAAGGUGCAACUGUCUGUUAUGCUUAAGGACACAGAAAAUGUCAAGGUACUCAGGUGAUAACAAGGCUGGUCUCUGAUGACUGAGGCCGAGAUGUUUCAC